UACGUAGGGUGCAAGCGUUGUCCGGAAUUAUUGGGCGUAAAGAGCUCGUAGGCGGUUUGUUGCGUCGGCUGUGAAAUCCCGAGGCUCAACCUCGGGUCUGCAGUCGAUACGAGCAAACUAGAGUAUUGCAGGGGAGACUGGAAUUCCUGGUGUAGCGGUGAAAUGCGCAGAUAUCAGGAGGAACACCGGUGGCGAAGGCGGGUCUCUGGGCAAUAACUGACGCUGAGGAGCGAAAGCGUGGGGAGCGAACAGG
rnacentral:rRNA from 1 species